rnacentral:rRNA from 1 species
GGAAACGACGUGGCAGCAGCCGUGGGAAGGGGUGGGGGGGAAGGGUGGUUGUGCGUGACUGGGCGGAAAGGGCGGGUAGGCGGGCGUGUAUUUUGGACGGGAAAUCCCCGGUCUCAACUCGGGGCGGUCGGUCAAAACUGCCGGGCUAGAGUGGGGGAGAGGGAAGUGGAAUGCCCGGGGUAGCGGUGAAAUGCGUAGACAUCGGGAAGAACACCGGUGGCGAAGGCGGCUUCCUGGCCCGCAACUGACGCUGAGGCGCGAAAGCUAGGGGAGCAAACAGGAUUAGAGACCCGAGUAGUC